CGCUGGCGGCAGGCCUAACACAUGCAAGUCGAGCGGAUGAAGGGAGCUUGCUUCUGGAUUCAGCGGCGGACGGGUGAGUAAUGCCUAGGAAUCUGCCUGGUAGUGGGGGACAACGUUUCGAAAGGAACGCUAAUACCGCAUACGUCCUACGGGAGAAAGCAGGGGACCUUCGGGCCUUGCGCUAUCAGAUGAGCCUAGGUCGGAUUAGCUAGUUGGUGAGGUAAUGGCUCACCAAGGCGACGAUCCGUAACUGGUCUGAGAGGAUGAUCAGUCACACUGGAACUGAGACACGGUCCAGACUCCUACGGGAGGCAGCAGUGGGGAAUAUUGGACAAUGGGCGAAAGCCUGAUCCAGCCAUGCCGCGUGUGUGAAGAAGGUCUUCGGAUUGUAAAGCACUUUAAGUUGGGAGGAAGGGUUGUAGAUUAAUACUCUGCAAUUUUGACGUUACCGACAGAAUAAGCACCGGCU
rnacentral:rRNA from 1 species